rnacentral:rRNA from 1 species
GAUGAACGCUGGCGGCGUGCCUAAUACAUGCAAGUCGAGCGAACAGACGAGGAGCUUGCUCCUCUGACGUUAGCGGCGGACGGGUGAGUAACACGUGGAUAACCUACCUAUAAGACUGGGAUAACUUCGGGAAACCGGAGCUAAUACCGGAUAAUAUAUUGAACCGCAUGGUUCAAUAGUGAAAGACGGUUUUGCUGUCACUUAUAGAUGGAUCCGCGCCGCAUUAGCUAGUUGGUAAGGUAACGGCUUACCAAGGCAACGAUGCGUAGCCGACCUGAGAGGGUGAUCGGCCACACUGGAACUGAGACACGGUCCAGACUCCUACGGGAGGCAGCAGUAGGGAAUCUUCCGCAAUGGGCGAAAGCUUGACGGAGCAACGCCGCGUGAGUGAUGAAGGUCUUCGGAUCGUAAAACUCUGUUAUUAGGGAAGAACAAAUGUGUAAGUAACUAUGCAAGUCUUGACGGUACCUAAUCAGAAAGCCACGGCUAACUACGU